AUGAACUUCAGGGUGAGAACCACAGUUUGCCAUGUCCAUAUGCACAACAGACUAUGUGGUUGUACAUCCUACAAAUCCUGGAACUGCAUGUAAACAUGAAAUCUAGGAACAUCAUCUAGGAACAAGAUCAAAAUGGAUAGUUACAUAUAUGAAUCCACAAUGCUUAUAGAGAUUAGCUAAAAUGAGACAUUCAUCUCUGAGAACUCAUUGUAGCUA